rnacentral:rRNA from 1 species
UACGUAGGGUGCAAGCGUUGUCCGGAAUUAUUGGGCGUAAAGAGCUCGUAGGUGGCCUGUCGCGUCGGCUGUGAAAUCCCGGAGCUCAACUCCGGGUCUGCAGUCGAUACUGGCAAACUGGAGUACUGCAGGGGAGACUGGAAUUCCUGGUGUAGCGGUGAAAUGCGCAGAUAUCAGGAGGAACACCGGUGGCGAAGGCGGGUCUCUGGGCAGUAACUGACGCUGAGGAGCGAAAGCGUGGGGAGCGAACAGG